UUAUUUAUUUUUUUAUUGAUCAGUUUGAUUCUGGUUGAUAUUAUUAAUUUUUCGUAAAUUUUAUACAUGUGAUUUUUUAUAUAAUAAAUUUGUUUAUUGCAGUAUUUAGUAUUGGGUAUGAAGUUAUUUUUGAUUCGGUUAUGCGAUUUAAUAUUGUAAAUGUUUGUGCCAGCAUACGCGGUUAUACAAUAAAUGUAAAUUAAUAUUUUCGGUAUAGAUUAGUUAAUUUAUUUUUGAGAUUAUUAUUUUAUUUUUUCGGUGAAAUUUAAAUUAUUAUUAAUUUUUUUUAUGAUUCUUUUAAAUUUAAAAAUUAAACUAGGAUUAGAUACCCUAUUAUUUUAAAUAUAAGUUUUACCCAGGUAGUAAUAGUUUUGUUCUUUAAACCUAAAGAAUUUGGCGGUGUUUUAUUCUAUUUAGAGGAACCUGUUCCGUAAUCGAUAGUCCUCGUUUUAUCUUGCUUAAAUUAUAGUAUGUAUACCGCCGUUAUAAGUAUAUUUUUAUAGAUUAUUUACUUUAAAAAUAAUUUUUUUAUAUUUCAGGUCAAGGUGCAGCUUAUAUUUUAGUGGAAAUGGGUUACAUUUUUAUUGUAAUUUCGAAUAUAAAAUUUAUAAUUUUAUUGAAGUUGGAUUUAAAAGUAAUUAUAGUUAUAGAUCUAUUUUGAUUUUAGUUCUAAAAUGAGUACAUAUCGCCCGUCACUCUCAUUUUUGAGAUAAGUCGUAACAAAGUAAGCGUACUGGAAGGUGUGCUUAAGAUUAUUAAA
rnacentral:ncRNA from 1 species